rnacentral:lncRNA from 10 species
CCUCUGCCCGCUGCUGGUGGACACAAUGCCGCGCAGUCAAGAAAAGUGAUGUUUCAGAAGACUUUGAAUGACCCAGAGGCAGCCUCUGUCCUUGUGCCCUAGGAGGUGAUGCUUUUCUAUGGCUUAGUUUCCUCAUCAGUAAGGUGAGGACAGAGUAUCUCAGCUCCCUCCCCCGGGGGUCCUAAAGCAUCGAGGAAAUGUUC